AUUGAACGCUGGCGGCAGGCCUAACACAUGCAAGUCGAGCGAGCGGCGGACGGGUGAGUAAUGUAUGGGGUUCUGCCUGAUGGAGGGGGAUAACUACUGGAAACGGUAGCUAAUACCGCAUACCAUCAGAUGAACCCAUAUGGGAUUAGCUGGUAGGUAAGGUAACGGCUUACCUAGGCGAAGAUCCCUAGCUGGUCUGAGAGGAUGAUCAUCCAAAGUGGUACUGAGACACGGCCCAGACUCAUACGGGAGGCAGCAGUGGGGAAUAUUGCACAAUGGGCGAAAGCCUGAUGCAGCCAUGCCGCGUUGAUGAAGAAGGUUUUCGGGUUGUAAAGUACUUUAAGUCGGGAGGCGUUACCCACAGAAGAAGCAACGGCUAACUCCGUGCCAGCAGCCGCGGUAAUAC
rnacentral:rRNA from 1 species